rnacentral:lncRNA from 10 species
GGCUGGGGAUGGAGGAAAUGCCUGUUGUCCCAGGUAACCAGAGGAGCCGAUGCAGCCACCCAUGGGGGACCCUGGGCUCCAGGUCAAAGGCUAGGACGCCUUUCCCCUUCCCCCCAUCCCCACGGCAGCUCUAUGGCUGGGCCCCUCCUCCUGCCCACUCUCUGGUACCACCUAGAGAGCACGGGGCCCACUCCCCAAACCAGACGGCAUGCCCUCCCCUAGGCCAAGAGGACCCGUUAGUAGGCACUGGCUUUCCUGCACAUCCCCUCAACGGGGCUGCCCCCCACAGCAGGUGAGCCCCCACCAUGAGUUUGAGAGACCAGGGCUGCUGGGGCCUGGUCAUGCAGGGCCCGGACAGGGGGCUGUCCCGCUGUGAGGAAGCUCUUGGCUUACCCUCCUCUGAGCCUCAGAGCUUGUGAGGUUAGUUCCUGGGUUCCCUGGGUGUGGGCAACCUCUAGCCCUGUUCAUCCCUUGCGUUUCAACAGUACCCCCAGGUGACCCCCACCCCUGAUGUUCCUGCUUUUCUAUUUUUAUUGUUGCUAAAUCACAGCUGACACUUUCCUGGCCUGAGACUGAGCCCUCCAGUCUCCAGCCAUUCCUUAUAGGAAGUAAGAACAGGGAAGUGGAUAGGGGAAACAGACCUUUCCAGAGGGAGAGGCUGGCAUAGGAAGGGCUGAGUCCCGUGGGUGUGUGCUGGCACCGACAGCCCCAUAGGCAGGGGCCUUCCCCCCGGCACCCUUCUCUCUCCCCACAGCUUCCCCCGCCCCGGAAAAGCUAGCAAGCCUUCCUUCCUUCCUCCGGGAAGCACAUCUAUCCAGAGCAGGCUCAUCCCCGGCGGCCACACAAUGGCCCUUAUCAGCCGUGGAGCCAGGCGUAGACCCAGUGCACACCAGACUACUGAGACCGCUCUGCGGGUGGGUUCAGACCCCAUUCCUGUUUCUGGUCCUGUGGGAAACCACAGGUGCCUGGAACUUUGAAGAGACUGUACCACUUCUCUGAGCCUUGGCUUUCCCAUCUGCCCAAUGAAGGGUGCCAUGCAGUAACCCUCGUGAUGGCUGUGCAUGUGAGAAGGAACAGGCUUGCGGGGGAGAGUAUGCAACACAGAGCAACUGGAGUAACCCUCAGUCCCAG